rnacentral:tRNA from 1 species
GUAGUCGUGGCCGAGUGGUUAAGGCGUUGGACUGCUAAAAUAGCUGUCAUCCAAUGGGAUUUUCCCGCGAGAGUUCGAAUCUCUCCGACUACG